UGAAGACAGAUGUAGUCCUGGCAUUCCUCAAGCUUAUAGUCUAAUAGGAACGUCUACACUGAGAAAGAAAAAAAAGAAAAGAAGGAAGAAAAGAAGAAACCCUUCUCUGACACUUCAUAGACAAAAAACAAGAGGAGAUGAUUAUUUAAGUUCAUCAGUGGGAAUGGCACCUGCCCUGUCCUACUCUGGUUACUAGGGAAGUAACAGACUCCUUGGAAAAAACAACGUUGAGAUGGAGAGGGAAGGGGUGAAACUGGGAAAUGCUAAAUCUGAAUUCAGAGUAUCUGGCCUCAUCAUUCAGAUAUUUUAAGGAAUAAAGGAAGUUGACGGGUGGAAAUCUGAAGGUGAAUUAAAUAAUUGGAAGUUAUGAUGAAUUGCCAUUCCAUCUGUGUAUUGCCUUUAAUCUCUGGUCUGGCUCUUCUACCUGCCACAUGAAUUGAAAACUGAGUUUUUGGAGCCGGGGAUUUCUGGAAGAUGUGGAAUGGGAGAAAGCCUGAGGUGGUGAUAAGCCAGCAGCUUUCCCUGGUGCAAAGCUGAGCAGGUGCACAGCAUCAGGCCUGAUUUGGGCUGCUCACAUCCAAGCUUCAGACUCUCUUAAGAUGCUUUUCUGGGGAACACAUUCUUCACUCUCCACUCCCUUCAUCUGUACUUCAUUGUAAAAAAGGAAGUUAAACCAAAACGAAAUAAAUGUUAAGAUAGAACCUCA